rnacentral:rRNA from 1 species
AUUGAACGCUGGCGGCAGGCCUAACACAUGCAAGUCGAGCGGAUGAGUGGAGCUUGCUCCAUGAUUCAGCGGCGGACGGGUGAGUAAUGCCUAGGAAUCUGCCUGGUAGUGGGGGACAACGUUUCGAAAGGAACGCUAAUACCGCAUACGUCCUACGGGAGAAAGCAGGGGACCUUCGGGCCUUGCACUAUCAGAUGAGCCUAGGUCGGAUUAGCUAGUAGGUGAGGUAAUGGCUCACCUAGGCGACGAUCCGUAACUGGUCUGAGAGGAUGAUCAGUCACACUGGAACUGAGACACGGUCCAGACUCCUACGGGAGGCAGCAGUGGGGAAUAUUGGACAAUGGGCGAAAGCCUGAUCCAGCCAUGCCGCGUGUGUGAAGAAGGUCUUCGGAUUGUAAAGCACUUUAAGUUGGGAGGAAGGGCAGUAAGUUAAUACCUUGCUGUUUUGACGUUACCAACAGAAUAAGCACCGGCUAACUUCGUGCCAGCCGCCGCUGUAAGAC